rnacentral:rRNA from 1 species
CAUGUGGUUUAAUUCGAAGCAACGCGUAAGAACCUUACCAGGUCUUGACAUCCCUGACAACCGAGAGAUCGGGCGUUCCCCUUCGGGGGACAGGGUGACAGGUGGUGCAUGGUUGUCGUCAGCUCGUGCCGUGAGAUGUUGGGUUAAGUCCCGCAACGAGCGCAACCCUCGACCUUAGUUGCCAGCAUUCAGUUGGGCACUCUAAGGUGACUGCCGGCUAAAGUCGGAGGAAGGUGGGGAUGACGUCAAAUCAUCAUGCCCCUUAUGACCUGGGCUACACACGUGCUACAAUGGGCGGUACAAAGGGUCGCGAACCCGCGAGGGGGAGCCAAUCCCAAAAAGCCAUCCUCAGUUCGGAUUGGAGUCUGCAACUCGACUCCAUGAAGUUGGAAUCGCUAGUAAUCGCGGAUCAGCAUGCCGCGGUCGAAUACGUUCCCGGGCCUU